rnacentral:lncRNA from 1 species
CUCGAACGGAGCUGGGAGGACGGAACGCGGGCACGGCCACGGGGCGGUACUGUGCGCGGUACGGCCGCCCGCCCCGCGACGCCGCGCCGCUCCUCGGGCCGUGCCCAUAGAGGGGCUCCCAGCGCGGCCCGCGCUCGCUCCGCCGCGCCCAUUGGUCCGGCGUCCUCCCCCCGGUGGCCAAUGAGACGGCGCGGCUCGCGGGGAGGCGGGCCGUCGGGCGGUGUCACGUGUGCCUAACGUGCGCGGCCAUCCGGAGGCGGUCCUUGCUCGCAAAGGGGCGGGGCGGCUUUAGGUUUGACCGACGUCCGUCUCGGCCUAUCAGCGCGCCGGCUUCGCCCCCGGCGGGAGGGGCUCGGCUACUGAUUGCCGCGGAGCGCGGCGGGGCGGGCGUUGGACGGCGCGGUUGCUAUGACGGCGCGCCCCGGGGCUCCGCCCCUUCGGCGGCCGCCAUCUUGUUGUUGAUUCGAACGGCGGGGAGCGGGCGGCGGCGCUGGGGGCUCGGGGUUGGCAGCCCCCGGCCGGGCAGGCGGAGCCGCCCCGAGGCUGCGUGCGGCGAGGAGCCCUCGGAGCGCGGCGGUGCCAUGAGAGCGGCAUGCCUCUGAAAACGUGACCUUGUGAAGCCCCACGAGCGUGAGGUGAUGAGCCCUGCCCAGGCCGGGAGCUGGCUGCUGACCAUCUGCUUACAGGACACAGCCUCCUGCUUUAACAGAUCACCAGGUGCCUGUAUAGGUUUUGAUUGCAUUUUAGAUGUUAGUUCAUUUCGCUGUUUCUCGAGGUUGCUGUGGAGCUGGUGAGUGGGCUAUGAGGUGGAGCAUGCUGUCUUGUGGAUUGUCUUUUGAGUAAGGAGCAUAGCUGUUAAGUGUGAAGUCAAAUGUGUACAGCCUUUACUCUUGAGCAGGUCAGUUUCUUGCAGCUGUGGUUGAAGCCAUAGAAUAUCUGAUGAAGACCUUGUUUGGGCCAUUAGUCAGGCGUUGUGUUGUAACCCAGGCACUUAACACGCUGCUAUCAGAUUCCUCCGAUCCAUCCACAGCUUUAACGUGGUUGAGAUGUGCAGC